rnacentral:tRNA from 1 species
ACUUAAAUAGCUUAAUUAUUUAGAAGCAUGAUAUUGAAGAUAUCAAGAUGAUUCCAAUGGAUCUUUAAGUA